UGGUUAAUUUCUUCUCUUCCUUCACUUAAUAAAAUCCUCAAAAAUUAUUAGAUCCCUAAAAUGAUUAAGUUAUAGUAAUAACUAAGUAAUAGCCUCCCAUUAAGUGAGUGAUAAUGAGUUCAUUAGUUUAAUAAUCAUUGGAGGCCCAAAGGCCUGGUGCUUAUUGACUAAUGGAAUUAUCAUUCAUAGUAUGAUAAUUUGGUUGAGUCUUUCUGAUGGUGGUCAGGUUGGCCGGCCAAAGUCGGGCCUGAUCAUUUAUUGGUCCGAUUCACCAAAUCAAGUCAUGUUAAUGGUUGGACCUAACCAGAUCUUUUCAAUGGAGGCUAAAGCCUACUGAUUAGGUUCUGGGGCAAAAUUAAUUACUAGAAGUUGUUUAGAGAAACAACUGGUUAUGAACCUACCCAUAGAUGCACAUGGGUUGACCAACCAAAGUUGGGCUCGUGUGUAGUCUGUGUGGAUUCUAGUACCCACUA
rnacentral:lncRNA from 1 species